GACCUGAGCUGAAGGCAGACACUUAACCAAGUGAGCCACUCAGAUGUCCCUUGUGCAUUUUAUCUUUGAUAGUUUUGAUGCUGUGACUUGUAUAGGAGCAAAGCUUGUGGUGGGAUCCCUAAUUACCUCACCCAUGUGAUGAGCCUCUCUGUUCCUGGCUGGUGAUCUGAAAUCAAUGCUAUGUCCGACUUCUGAUCCUGCGCCCUGAAGUUGUAUAACUCAAUAGCAUGGAUGUAAUUGGAAAUAGCGGCUAUGGAUCCGAAGUGUUGUCUGGAAUGCCAUAUUUGAAAACGAUGAGCAUCUAAUCAGACAUGACAAGACACUUUUAAGAAGCUAAGGUUGACAUCGUGGAGCCAGUGCUGACAAAACUCUGGAACACUGGUCUGGUUCCCGGCUUACAGGUCUCCUGGCUUUGCAGGCAUCCCUCUUUUAAGAUGUCUGAUCUCCAGAAUCCUGCCACCAGACCUUUGCUACCACCUUCCAAGAGAUGGUUCAACUGGUUUUAUAAGAACCACACCAACAAGGAUCCAUGGGAUACAAGUUUUCUUUUUCAUUAUCUUUUUUUUAAUUGGAGUAUAAUUGGCAAAUGAUAUAAUAUUAGUUCCAUUUUUCAAAAUAUUUAUUUAUUUAUUUGAGAGAGAGAGAGAGAGAGAGAGAGAGAGAGAGACAGUGAGUGCG